rnacentral:rRNA from 1 species
GAUGAACGCUAGCGGCAGGCCUAAUACAUGCAAGUCGAACGCGAUUCGGGACUUCGGUUCUGAUGAAAGUGGCGCACGGGUGCGUAACGCGUAUGCAACCUACCUUGAUCAGGGGGAUAGCCGCUCGAAAGAGAGAUUAACACCGCAUAAAAACACAGUCUGGCAUCAGACAAUGUUCAAAUAUUUAUAGGAUCAAGAUGGGCAUGCGUGACAUUAGUUAGUUGGCGGGGAAACGGCCCACCAAGACGACGAUGUCUAGGGGAUCUGAGAGGAUGACCCCCCACACUGGUACUGAGACACGGACCAUACUCCUACGGGAGGCAGCAGAAAGGAAUAUUGGUCAAUGGGCGAAUGGCUGAACCAGGCAUGCCGCGUGCAGGAAGACUGCCCUAUGGGUUGUAAACUGCUUUUGUACCGGAAUAAACCGCACUUCGUGAAGUGAGCUGAAUGUACGGUAAGAAUAAGGAUCGGCUAACUCCGUGCCAGCCGCCGCCGUAAAAC